rnacentral:rRNA from 1 species
AGUGAACGCUGGCGGUAGGCCUAACACAUGCAAGUCGAACGGCAGCACAGUAAGAGCUUGCUCUUACGGGUGGCGAGUGGCGGACGGGUGAGGCAUACAUCGGAAUCUACUUUUUCGUGGGGGAUAACGUAGGGAAACUUACGCUAAUACCGCAUACGACCUACGGGUGAAAGCAGGGGAUCUUCGGACCUUGCGCGAUUGAAUGAGCCGAUGUCGGAUUAGGUAGUUGGCGGGGUAAAGGCCUACCAAGGCGACGAUCCGUAGCUGGUCUGAGAGGAUGAUCAGCCACACUGGAACUGAGACACGGUCCAGACUCCUACGGGAGGCAGCAGUGGGGAAUAUUGGACAAAGGGCGAAAGCCUGAUCCAGCCAUACCGCGUGGGUGAAGAAGGCCUUCGGGUUGUAAAGCCCUGUUGUUGGGAAAGAACAGCAGUAGGUUAAUACCCCGCUGUUCUGACGGUACCCAAAGAAUAAGCACCGGCUAACUUCGUG